rnacentral:lncRNA from 1 species
GUGGCUGCCGCCGUGGCCGCGUAGCCCGAACGCAGAUCGUGGAAGCCGAAGACGCGGCAACGGUGGUCCCUCCAGAUGCCAGGGAAGGUUUGCAGGAAGCCGCUCCCGACACCCUUUGCGCCACCGGAAGCCUCGUUCCCUCAGAUUUCCCCCUCCCUCCCGGACCGACUUCCGGGUGUGGCUGCCGCCCUUCCCCCACCCACGCCGGCGGGAGCCGCCCGUUCGCGCUGCCAGCAGCUUCCGCCUGCUACGGUCCUGGCAAGCACCUCGGGAUCCCAUUCCUUCACAGGGACCCUAGCCAGUUAAAGCUGAUACAUUCCUGUGGGUCAACUAUGCAACUAACUCAGAUUUUGAGCAAACAAAGCUCUCAAGUUGGUGAUCCUCAGGAGUCUCUGCAUUAGUUGGACAGCUCUUCUGGAAUUAUCUUCUAAGUCAACUGUGGGUUGGGUAGGUGGCUCUGCUGAUUUUUCGCUGGACUUCCACAUUUGGGACGAGUUGGCUGUCAUCAGCUCUAGAAAGGGUGUGGCCGUUUUACAUUGGCUGUUUUCCUCACAUUCCUCAAGCAGGUACUGUAAUAAAGAACUGGAGAAAUACAGUCAGAUGGGAAGUAGCCCUUGCUGUCAAGGAGCUUGCCAUCUAAUGGGGGAGACAGGCAAGUAAACCAAAGACUACACAGUGCAGUAUGGUAAGUGCCAUGAUUUUGAUGUGACAGGGCACAGUGGACGACCUUCCAAAUCAAAGCAAGUAACUAGGGGUUGACAAUGGUAAGUAUCAUAGUUGAAGUAUCCUUGAACAAGGUUUCAGGAAGAAGAAGAAGGGAAUUUCAUGCAGGGAAACAGCCAAAGCUCAGUGAGUCAAAAUAUCACAGCAUUCUUGGUAAGCCCAAUUGUUUUUUCUGUUUUGCUAUUUUGGUGGAGAGAAAGGAACACAUAAAGGAAUAACAUGAGAGAAGGCUAUUUGGGGAAGUGUAGUAGUUAAGGUUCUGGCUCAAACAACAACUGCAGCUCAUAAAGUUGACUUUAGUGGAAGGAUACUGGGGUAUCUCAUGGAAUCUUGGGAACUGUUGAAUAACCAGGGAAACUCUGGGAAACUCACUGGUAGGAAUCCAUAAACUGUCCUCCUGGUGGGCUGUAAACAACUCACCCUCUAUGCAUCUCACAUCAAAAUUCCAGUUUCUUGGGAAAACAAGUCUGUUUGCCCAAUUUGGGUCAUAUUUCCACGUCCAUGUUACUCAGGCAUGAUUCAUCUGCAAGUUAUGUGUAUAGAUAUUUUGCUACUGUUCCACCCUUACGCUGUGCUGGGGAGGGAGGUGUCACUGUGAGCUGUGUCGGUGCCUUAAGAGAUAUCUGUUGUGUCUUAUUACUUGGUUGCUUUUCCCCACAUGUACAAUGACAAAAAUGCCUUCAACCUAUUUGAUCCAGCCGUUCCAGUACAACUCCUAUACUUGCCAUCUUUCCAAGCCCAAAGGUACAUCCAGCUGAUGGAAGGAGCAUCUUGGUGUUAAUAUUCUUUUAGUCAUGGUCUCUGAAAGUAAAAUGUCUAUUCUUCUAAUUCUGGCACAAUCUUAUCUAGCUAUAGUUCCUCAUGGUCCUGCACUCCAUGGACUAAAUUGUAAGUAUAAUUACUACCAAUGUACUCUAUAAAUAACUUUUGGGGCCAGGGUGGCAAUAGUUGCUAGAGAGAAAAAAAAAAAAAAGGAAGGAGAAGAAAACAGUGAUAGUUCUUAUUUUAAAAGGAAAAAAAGAGGCAGGAGGCUCUCUUGAGGCCAGGAGUUUAAGACCAGCCUAGGCAGCAUUUCAAGACCCUGUCUCUACUAAAAAGUAAAAAAAAAAUUUAGUCAGGCAUGGUGGCAUGCACCUGUAGUCGUAGCUACUCAGGAGACUGAGGUGGGAGGAUUGAUUGAGCUCAGGAGUUUGAGGCUGCAGUGAGCAAUCAUCAUGCCAUUGCACUCCAGCCUGGGCAUCAGAGCAAGACCUUGUCUUUUAGGAAAAAAAGGCAGGGAAGAGGAAUAGGUAAUUUUUCAGUGUUCAGACAUUCCAGCAAUAUGUGUGGAGUACUCAUUCUCACUACAGUUUAUGAGGCCAUAGCUAGUAUGUAUGACUACCCAUCCAAGUUUCCCUGCUUACAGUUACUAUUCCAACUGAUUGGGGGGCUUUUCCUAAUAGAGUGAUUUAAGCCUUCAUUUUUAGACAUCUAAGCCCUUGGUGAUCAUCAGCAUAAAAUGUGACAAAUUAAACAAAAGCAAGACAGCACAUCAGAGAACAACUCUGAGGUGGAAUGAUUGGGAACCAAUGAAUAGUUGUUCAGUAAAUGGUUUAUAUUUUACAGAUGAUGAAACUGAAACACAAAAAAUUUAGAUUAACUCUUAGGUGACAAAGCCAGGAUUGAAGCUCAUGCGGUCUGGCUCCAGAACAACUCUUCUUCAUAGUUACGUUAUACUGCCCCUGCAUUGUUGGUAUUGAAAAUAACUGAUACCGUGCUUCCAGAAGAUUUUUCUAACAGUGUUUGCAAGCUAUAAAAUAGUGCUUUCACUUAGAAAAGGCUAGACGUGGUGGUUCAUGCCUGUAAUCCCAGCACUUUGAGAGGCCGAGGCACCAUGCUGGGAGAUAAGGAUCCAACAUAAGACAAACAGUGCUGAUGCUUUUGGAAAGCUCAUAUUCAAGCUGGGGAGACAAACAACAUACAAAAGUUCUCAUCAUGAUACUUUAAGGAUGAGGACAGCUGAUGUGGCUGGCCUGAAAAAUAAGGCUCAUAGAUGGAAGGCUUGUCUCAGAUAAGACUUUGGACUUGGACUUUUGGGUUAAUGCUGGAAUGAGUUAAGACUUUGGGGUUCUGUUGGGAAGGCAUGAUUGUGUUUUGAAAUGUGAGAAGGACAAGAGAUCUGGGAGGGGCCAGGGUUGGAAUGAUAUGGCUUGGCUCUGUGUCCCCACCCGAAUCUCAUCUCAAAUUGUAAUCCUCACAUGUGGAGGAAGGUACCUGGUGGGAGCUGAUUGGAUCAUGGGGGUGGUUCCCCCAAGCUGUUCUCAUGAUAGUAAGUUCAUUCUCAUGAGAUCUGAUGGUUUAAAAGUGUGGCAUUUACACACUCUUUCUCUCCUGCUGCCAUGUAAGACAUGCCUUGCUUUCCCUUAACCUUCUGCCAUGAUUGUAAGUUUCCCGAGGUGUCCCCAGCCAUGUGAAACUGUGAGUUAAUUAAAGCUCUUUUCUUUAUAAAUUACCCAAUCUCAGGUAUUUCUUUAUAGCAGUGUGAAAAUGGACUAAUGGACUAAUGGAAAAUGGACUAAUACAAGAU